UAAGUAAGCGGAGGACAAGAAACUAAAUAGGAUUCCCUUAGUAAUGGCGAAUGAACAGGGAUGAGCUCAGCAUGGAAAUUGGGGCCUGUGGCCUUGAAUUGUAGUCUUGAGACUGNNNNNCAACGGAGGCGCAGAUGUAAGUCUUUAGGAAUAGAGCAUCGGUGAGGGUGAGAGUCCCGUUCGUCAUCUGCAGUCNNCCNUGCACGGCGUCGGUUNUAAGAGUCACGUUCCUUGGGACUGGAGCGCAAAUUGGGUGGUAAAUUUCAUCUAAAGCUAAAUAUUGGUUCGAGACCGAUAGCAAACAAGUACCAUGAGGGAAAGGUGAAAAGGACUUUGAAAAGAGAGUUAAAAGUGCCUGAAAUUGCUGAAAGGGAAGCGAAUGGAACCAGUGUUUCUUGGUGAGAUUGUUGCGCACUAAUGUGAUGGCUCGCUGUUUCAACGCAAGUGUUGCAGUGGGUUUUGAUCUGGACGUGCGCGGUGCUUCUUGCCUUGUGUGUCAACGUCGGUGCGGACUUGGGGAUAACUCCAGGGACAUGGUAAGUUACCUGCGGUGACUGAAUGUGCCUGGUAGAACUCAUUUCUGUACUGUUCCCUGCGUGUCUGGUUGCAA
rnacentral:rRNA from 1 species